UUGGAGGGCAAGUCUGGUGCCAGCAGCCGCGGUAAUUCCAGCUCCAAUAGCGUAUAUUAAAGUUGUUGCAGUUAAAAAGCUCGUAGUUGAAUUUCGGGAUCAAUAUAUCGGUCGUGCCUUGGUACGUACUGGUAUCAUUGGUUUCUCCUUUCUGACGAACCAUGAUGUCAUUAAUUUGGUGUUAUGGGAAGUUAGGACUGUUACUUUGAAAAAUUAGAGUGUUUAAAGCAGGCUUUAGCUUGAAUACAUUAGCAUGGAAUAAUGAAAUAGGACGUUCGAACCUAUUUUGUUGGUUUCUAGGAUCAACGUAAUGAUUAAUAGGGAUAGUUGGGGGCAUUAGUAUUCAAUUGUCAGAGGUGAAAUUCUUGGAUUUAUUGAAGACUAACUACUGCGAAAGCAUUUGCCAAGGAUGUUUUCAUUAAUCAAGAACGAAAGUUAGGGGAUCGAAGACGAUCAGAUACCGUCGUAGUCUUAACCAUAAACUAUGCCGACUAGGGAUCGGAUGAUGUUAAUUUUUAAUGACUCAUUCGGCGCCUUACGGGAAAC
rnacentral:rRNA from 1 species